UGCCUCUGUAUUCAAAUGAGUUGAAUUGUUCGGGUUUUCAAGCAUGCUAUGUGAGUUACUGAUACUUGAUGAAUUUACAUAUAAUAUAUGUAAUAUGUAAUCCUUAAUAGCAAAAGUAAAAAGAAAAGAAAAAGAAAAAAGUGAAAUGAAGCUUUUAUGGUCCGUAGUGUAUCUGUAUUGACAUGCAUAUUGCAUCAAGUGUCUCAUUAGGUUUUUUAUCUUUGAGGGAUAUUUGUUCCCUUUGCCCUUCGAGGUAUCUAUUUUUUCCUCCUCUAUCUGGUCUAGAAAGACGUAAGAGGACCGCUCCUAGUGGAUGACGACAUGCCCUC
rnacentral:lncRNA from 1 species